UACGAAGGGGGCUAGCGUUGCUCGGAAUCACUGGGCGUAAAGGGUGCGUAGGCGGGUCUUUAAGUCAGGGGUGAAAUCCUGGAGCUCAACUCCAGAACUGCCUUUGAUACUGAAGAUCUUGAGUUCGGGAGAGGUGAGUGGAACUGCGAGUGUAGAGGUGAAAUUCGUAGAUAUUCGCAAGAACACCAGUGGCGAAGGCGGCUCACUG
rnacentral:rRNA from 1 species